rnacentral:misc_RNA from 1 species
UUUCCGUAGGUGAACCUGCGGAAGGAUCAUUAUUGUAUAAUCAAUGUACUAGUUCUGUCCCUUACCGGAAAGUGCAUGCACCCCCGAAUGCCCUCAACCACAGCCAUCUCACCCCUAUGUACACCACCGCGUGGUUCGCCAUUUCGCUUAUUCAGAGUGUGGCUUUCGUUUUCACUAAAACUUUUAAAGAAUUUUAGUUUGUUUUUUUUAUUUUUUCUAAAAACAAAUUUAUACAACUUUCAACUACGGAUCUCUUUUCUCUCACAACGAAGAAGAACC